AUUGAACGCUGGCGGCAGGCCUAACACAUGCAAGUCGAGCGGAUGAGUGGAGCUUGCUCCAUGAUUCAGCGGCGGACGGGUGAGUAAUGCCUAGGGAUCUGCCUGGUAGUGGGGGACAACGUUUCGAAAGGAACGCUAAUACCGCAUACGUCCUACGGGAGAAAGCAGGGGACCUUCGGGCCUUGCGCUAUCAGAUGAGCCUAGGUCGGAUUAGCUAGUAGGUGAGGUAAUGGCUCACCUAGGCGACGAUCCGUAACUGGUCUGAGAGGAUGAUCAGUCAACCUGGAACUGAGACACGGUCCAGACUCCUACGGGAGGCAGCAGUGGGGAAUAUUGGACAAUGGGCGAAAGCCUGAUCCAGCCAUGCCGCGUGUGUGAAGAAGGUCUUCGGAUUGUAAAGCACUUUAAGUUGGGAGGAAGGGCAGUAAGUUAAUACCUUGCUGUUUUGACGUUACCAACAGAAUAAGCACCGGCUAACUUCGUGCCAGCCGCCGCCGUAAGAC
rnacentral:rRNA from 1 species